CUUCAUGAAUGAGAGAUUGGACCUGGACUUGGACGAGCGUGAAGCUAAUAGUCAGCGCUACAUAUGCUGCCAAACAUGCUUUUUGUUAAUCUGAGUUCAACAGCCAGGAAAACUGGGGAUUUUGAGUAAUUUGAUUCAAGUGUUACCCUUUGUGAUGACCUCAGGAGUAUCAGAACACUUUUCCAGCUAGAAUGCAGUAAACCCUUCAGAGACAUGCUUGUAAUAUCAUCACUGCAUCAUGGCAUGUAACCUGACAGUAGAAACAUCUCCACUCCAUCUUAGCCAGGGCCAUUUGAAGAAUGACACACACUGAUGGAAGCACACUACUGCUUAUAAUCGAACAGCUUAACAUUAGCUCGGACACUGAAGUGCCUGUAACUGUAACAUAUGCAUAUAUCAGGAACUGCAAUAAACAUCUAUUA